rnacentral:rRNA from 1 species
UACGGGGGGGGCAAGCGUUGUUCGGAAUUACUGGGCGUAAAGGGCUCGUAGGUGGCCAACUAAGUCAGACGUGAAAUCCCUCAGCUUAACUGGGGAACUGCGUCUGAUACUGGAUGGCUUGAGUUUGGGAGAGGGAUGCGGAAUUCCAGGUGUAGCGGUGAAAUGCGUAGAUAUCUGGAGGAACACCGGUGGCGAAGGCGCAUCCUGGACCAACACUGACACUGAUGAGCGAAAGCCAGGGGAGCAAACGGG